UUCUUUUUUCUCAAUUUUUUGGCUCUUUUUAAUCAUUUUAAUUAUUUAAAGAAAAUAUCCCUCACUUUAAUCUGUGCAGUUAUGACCUAAUCAUCUUCUAAAACAUUACAUAUCCUUUCAGAAAUAACUUCUGAAGCAUUACAAACCCUUUGGGAAAUAAAAUUUCUGAAGGAGAUAUCUUCAGUGAUUAGGUUUCUCAUAUAUCUCAAGUUGCACCUCUGUUGCUUCUAAAGGAGAGAUCUUCAGUGAUUAGGCUAUCUUUUUUCAUCUUUUUUCUUUCCUAUGUUGUUUAAUUAAAUUUUCAAGUAAUAGAUGAUAAUAUUUUGCUAUCUCUGGCCCGAUUUGAUUUAAAUGGUAUCAAAACGUGAAAUUGAAAACAAAAGCUAGAGAUCUGAUGAAGUUUUAAUUGAAUUAUUGGAGAGUAUUUCAUUGUUGCCAUUUUAUGUAUUAUGAACUCAAUGAUUUCUAGCAGAAAUUGAUAUUUCUCUAUUAAUAGCCAGAAUUUCUCCCAAAUUUGUUAUGUGUCAUGCUGUUUAUAAGCUAUCAACAUAAAUGCCUUUAAAAUUAUUGGGAUUAGUGCGUUUAGUUUUGUUUCAAUGUUCUUUUUUCUACUUAAUCCUCAAGUAAAUUUGGCCCUUUUGCAGGAUUCUUUCAUAAGCUUGAUUGUCUCAACAUCUGAACUUACCAGCUAAAACUAUGCAACUAAUGAAAAUCUCCCAGCAAACGUUAUAAAACAACUGGCAAAGGAACUGAAAAAUCUUGAUGAAUCUCCUCUUGAGGGCAUCAAAGUUGGUGUAAACGAUGAUAUGAUUUUUCAAUCAUAUUUGCUGAUAUUAAGGGCCCAGCUGGGACUCCUUACGAGAACGGGGUUUUCCGCAUGAAGUUGAUUUUGACAGAUGAUUUCCCUCAUUCUCCAUCAAAAGGAUCCCAAGCAGACAGCAACAAGAGAGACACAAAGCCCUAUACAACAAUGUUUGCAUGCUUGCCAAAUGAAAACUCUUUGGCAGCAAAGAAGACACUAAAACAGCUCCAAGUAGAGAGCAACAAGAGAGACGCAAAGCUCUAUACAACAAUAUUUGCACGCUUGUCAAAUGAAAAUUAAACUCUUCGGCAGCAAAGGUUUGUUUCAUGACUUCCUCAUUCUUACCUACAGGAGGGAAUGUACGAGCAUUGGAAAGGUGAGGGUUAGGCUCUUGAUUCUUGUAAUCGAGAAUGUAUACACACAUUCGUACCCUCUUAUUGUCCUGCAACCAUCGGGCGUUAAAAUGAUGGGAGAAGUUCAAUUAGCUGUGAGGUUUUCGUGUACGUCUUAUGUCAAUAUGUUGUCUAAUGCACUCAACCGUUGUUUCCAUAGAUGCAUUAUGUUCUUCCAUUGUCUAUAAGUUAGCAAGAUUUCUUCAGGUUCCAAACUAUUUAAAUACUGUCAACGAGGCUAGGCCAAGCAGAACCACCAUUGAAAAAAGAGCUUGUGGACUAUAUGCUAGACGUUGGUUCGGACAUAUGGAGCUUAAGGAGGGCAAAGUCUAAUUUUUUCAGAUUAAUGUAUGUUGUGAGCCCAAUAAUGGCAAUUGAGAAAUGAUUUGAUCAAAUAUGUCAUUGGAAGAAUCCACUUACUAGAAUUCUAAUUCACAUACUCUUUAUAAUA